AAAUUUGGUUUUAGUUUAUCAAUAGUUUUAAAUAGGAUUUAAUAUGCAAAUAGGGUUUAUUCGUCGCAAUUAGGGGAGUUUGUCAAGUUGGUACAAUAAAUUUUAUAGUUUUAGUCAACCGGGGUGCCAGCAGCUGCGGUUAUACCCCUAAAACAAACUAAUUCAAUACUACCGUAAAAAUACAGAUAGUAAAUUUAUUAAUUAGUUGUGAAAAUACACAAUUUACUUUUUGUUACAACUAUUGAAGCAGGAGUGAAGACCGGGGUUAGUAGCCCACUAUAACCUGAGUAAAUUUUUUGAGGUAUUAAAAGAUUAAUCUCUAAACCUUAAAAACAUGGCAGUAUUUUACCCCUUGCAGAGGAACUUGAAUAUUAAUUAGAUAGUCCUCUCUAUUUCUUACUUAAUUUUAUUUUGUGUGUGGUUGUUAAAAUAAGUAUGAGAUUAUAAGUUUUAAAUCAGAUGACACGCAUAUAUAAUUAAGGUAGUUUUAGUUACAAUUAAAUCAUUUAUUGGGAAAACACAGGAUUUGCGAGUAUUAUUAAAACUAGCUAAGAAGGGGUUUUAAAAUGUGUUCAUAUUGUCCGUCGCUCUCAGAAAUGAGAUAAGUCGUAGCAAAGUAAAGAUUUUUGAAAAAGUCUUUAGUUUAUUUUUAAACUAACUAAUU
rnacentral:rRNA from 1 species